AGGACCUUCAAAGCUGCUAUACCAAUACAAAUGAUGUGGUGGACUGGUGUGCUCCAUGAGGCUGAGUUGUCUUUAAGAAGGUAGGAAGGCCAGAAAACUGUAGCAAAUCGGAGAAAGACCUGCAGAGGAUAGAUGAUUGCUACAUGUACUGGGAACUGAAACUGACUAAAAUACGUCACCGUUUAUGUUUGUUACGGCGUAAAGUCAGCGCCGGCACGCCAGUCGGUAACGACAGAGAAGAGACGGCUGUGAGAAGAGGUCAGCCAAUCGCACGCUGACCGACCUCCCUCCAGGACGACAACGCGACAGCAGCAGUCCUUAAGUGGACAUACAUGCCGCGCCCGACUGGUGGCAGCCCACUUCAUAGCAGCUUCAACGUUACCCACUUCGUUAGCCGACGCAUCGUAGUCUCUCUACGUAACAGUACCACAGUUGUCUGUCUAUUCUGAAGAAGACUAAUUAUUUUGUAUGUCGCUCUUUGCUUGCGACAUAUAUCAAAGUUAAGUAUUUGUAUUGUCUUGUUAUAAUAAAACUCAUUAAUACUA